rnacentral:SRP_RNA from 2 species
GCCAGGCCUCUAGUCCCAGCUACUUGGGAGGCUGAGACAGGAGGAUCUCUUGGGCCCAGGAGUUCUAAGCACUAUGCUGAUGGGGUGUCUGCACUAAGCUCGGCAUGAUGACCUCCUCCAAGCAGGGGACCACCAGGUUGCCUAAGGAGGGAUGAACUGCCCCAGGUCAGAAACAGAGCUGAUCAGUAGUGGGAUCACACCUGUGAACAGCCACUGCUCUCCAGCAUGGGCAGCACAGCAAGACCCUGUCUCUU